GGACGAACGCUGGCGGCGUGCUUAACACAUGCAAGUCGAACGGAAAGGCCCUGCUUUUGUGGGGUGCUCGAGUGGCGAACGGGUGAGUAACACGUGAGUAACCUGCCCUUGACUUUGGGAUAACUUCAGGAAACUGGGGCUAAUACCGGAUAGGAGCUCCUGCUGCAUGGUGGGGGUUGGAAAGUUUCGGCGGUUGGGGAUGGACUCGCGGCUUAUCAGCUUGUUGGUGGGGUAGUGGCUUACCAAGGCUUUGACGGGUAGCCGGCCUGAGAGGGUGACCGGCCACAUUGGGACUGAGAUACGGCCCAGACUCCUACGGGAGGCAGCUGUGGGGAAUAUUGCACAAUGGGCGGAAGCCUGAUGCAGCAACGCCGCGUGCGGGAUGACGGCCUUCGGGUUGUAAACCGCUUUCGCCUGUGACGAAGCGUGAGUGACGGUAAUGGGUAAAGAAGCACCGGCUAACUACGUG
rnacentral:rRNA from 1 species